UGGCUCAGUGGUAGAGUACUUGCCUCAUAAGCAUGAGACCCUGGGUUCGAUUCCUCAG
rnacentral:tRNA from 1 species